CGGUUUAGUUGAUGCGGUUCA
rnacentral:siRNA from 1 species